CCUACGGGAGGCAGCAGUGAGGAAUAUUGGUCAAUGGGCGGAAGCCUGAACCAGCCAAGUAGCGUGAGGGAUGAAGGCCCUACGGGUCGUAAACUGCUUUUGCACGGGAAUAAAAUCCUGCACCUGUGCAGGUCUGCAGGUACUGUACGAAUAAGGGUCGGCUAAUUCCGUGCCAGCAGCCGCGGUAAUACGGAAGGUCCGAGCGUUAUCCGGAUUUAUUGGGCUUAAAGGGAGCGUAGGGGGGGGGUUAAGUCAGGUGUGAAAGUCCGGCGCUCAACCGGCGAACGGCAGUUGAUACUGGCAGACUUGAGUUCAGGAGAGGCAGGCGGAAUUCGUGGUGUAGCGGUGAAAUGCAUAGAUAUCACGAGGAACCCCGAUUGCGAAGGCAGCCUGCUGGGAUGCGACUGACGCUGAGGCUCGAAGGUGUGGGUAUCAAACAGGAUUAGAUACCCCUGUAGUC
rnacentral:rRNA from 1 species